UACGAAGGGGGCUAGCGUUGUUCGGAUUUACUGGGCGUAAAGCGCACGUAGGCGGAUCUUUUAAGUCAGAGGUGAAAUCCCAAGGCUCAACCCUUGGAACUGCCUUUGAUACUGGGGAUCUUGAGUCCGGGAGAGGUGAGUGGAACUGCGAGUGUAGAGGUGAAAUUCGUAGAUAUUCGCAAGAACACCAGUGGCGAAGGCGGCUCACUGGCCCGGUACUGACGCUGGAGGUGCGAAAGCGUGGGGAGCAAACAGG
rnacentral:rRNA from 1 species